rnacentral:SRP_RNA from 1 species
GCCGGGCGUGGUGUCAGGUGCCUGUAGUCCCAGGCUCAAUCAAUUAUUGGGGGGGUCGCAGGGCUGAUGUGGGAAGAUCGUUUGAGCCCAGGAGUUCUGGGCUGUAGUGCGCUAUGCCAAUCGGGUGUCUGCACUAAGUUCAGCAUCAAUAUGGGGACCUCACAGGAGUGGGGGACCACCAGGUUGCCUAAGCAGGGGUGAACCGGCCCAGGUGGGAAAUGGAGCAAAUUGAAACUCCCGUGCUGAAAAGGACUCAGCACAGAGGCAAAGACACCUGUGGUCUUUGUUUAUUGAGAAAGCUCUCUUCCU